rnacentral:rRNA from 1 species
AGUGAACGCUGGCGGUAGGCCUAACACAUGCAAGUCGAACGGCAGCACAGUAAGAGCUUGCUCUUACGGGUGGCGAGUGGCGGACGGGUGAGGAAUACAUCGGAAUCUACUUUUUCGUGGGGGAUAACGUAGGGAAACUUACGCUAAUACCGCAUACGACCUACGGGUGAAAGCAUGGGAUCUUCGGACCUUGCGCGAUUGAAUGAGCCGAUGUCGGAUUAGCUAGUUGGCGGGGUAAAGGCCCACCAAGGCGACGAUCCGUAGCUGGUCUGAGAGGAUGAUCAGCCACACUGGAACUGAGACACGGUCCAGACUCCUACGGGAGGCAGCAGUGGGGAAUAUUGGACAAUGGGCGCAAGCCUGAUCCAGCCAUACCGCGUGGGUGAAGAAGGCCUUCGGGCUGUAAAGCCCUUUUGUUGGGAAAGAAAAGCAGCAGGUUAAUACCCCGCUGUUCUGACGGUACCCAACGAAUAAGCACCGGCUAACUUCGUG